CAGUCCAGCACAGGAGGCGAGUCUCGCUGCCGACCACCACCGCACUGGCUGCCGCGGCGCCCGACCUGUCUGGUGAGUCUCCACGUACUCCUUCCAUCAACGUACGGUUGUUCAGCAGACUGCAAGUUUGGUGAAUUUAUUUUGGGAGAAAAGUUCCUUACUUGGCUCGACACCUUCGUCCUUCCACCAUGUUCUGCAGACGUUUUAGUUGGUUCAUCCGCAUUUUUGUGGCGGUGGCCAUAUUUACUGGCUUCUGUCACCCAGUUCCUGUUACAGAAUCCUAUACCAGAGUCACCUUGCAUACUUUAACAACCGACAACUCAGAAUCCCUCACAGUGGGACGAGUUCAGCAGGCUGAGGAGGCCACGGCCGUGGAUCUGGGUGCCCUGCUAGACGCAGGGGACG